AGAGUUUGAUCCUGGCUCAGGACGAACGCUGGCGGCGUGCUUAACACAUGCAAGUCGAACGGUGACGAGGAGCUUGCUCCUCUGAUCAGUGGCGAACGGGUGAGUAACACGUGAGCAACCUACCCUUGACUCUGGGAUAACAGUUGGAAACAGCUGCUAAUACCGGAUACGACCCUGGCGGGCAUCUGCCGGGGUGGAAAGCUCCGACGGUCAAGGAUGGGCUCGCGGCCUAUCAGCUAGUUGGUGAGGUAACGGCCCACCAAGGCGACGACGGGUAGCCGGCCUGAGAGGGCGACCGGCCACACUGGGACUGAGAUACGGCCCAGACUCCUACGGGAGGCAGCAGUGGGGAAUAUUGCGCAAUGGGCGAAAGCCUGACGCAGCAACGCCGCGUGCGGGAUGAAGGCCUUCGGGUUGUAAACCGCUUUCAGCAGGGACGAAGGGUUUCUGACGGUACCUGCAGAAGAAGCACCGGCUAACUACGUGCCAGCAGCCGCUGUGAUACGUAGGGUGCGAGCGUUGUCCGGAAUUAUUGGGCGUAAAGAGCUUGUAGGCGGUCUGUCACGUCGGAAGUGAAAACUCAGGGCUCAACCCUGAGCCUGCUUUCGAUACGGGCAGACUUGAGGAAUGUAGGGGAGAACGGAAUUCCUGGUGGAGCGGUGGAAUGCGCAGAUAUCAGGAGGAACACCAGUGGCGAAGGCGGUUCUCUGGGCAUUUCCUGACGCUGAGAAGCGAAAGCGUGGGGAGCAAACAGGCUUAGAUACCCUGGUAGUCCACGCCGUAAACGGUGGGCACUAGGUGUGGGACCUAUUCCAUGGGUUCCGUGCCGCAGCUAACGCAUUAAGUGCCCCGCCUGGGGAGUACGGCCGCAAGGCUAAAACUCAAAGGAAUUGACGG
rnacentral:rRNA from 1 species